CCAAUAGCGUAUAUUAAAGUUGUUGUGGUUAAAAAGCUCGUAGUUGAACCUUGGGCCUGGCUGGCCGGUCCGCCUCACCGCGUGCACUGGUCCGGCCGGGCCUUUCCCUCUGUGGAACCCCAUGCCCUUCACUGGGUGUGGCGGGGAAACAGGACUUUUACUUUGAAAAAAUUAGAGUGCUCCAGGCAGGCCUAUGCUCGAAUACAUUAGCAUGGAAUAAUAGAAUAGGACGUGCGGUUCUAUUUUGUUGGUUUCUAGGACCGCCGUAAUGAUUAAUAGGGACAGUCGGGGGCAUCAGUAUUCAAUUGUCAGAGGUGAAAUUCUUAGAUUUAUUGAAGACUAACUACUGCGAAAGCAUUUGCCAAGGAUGUUUUCAUUAAUCAGGAACGAAAGUUAGGGGAUCGAAGACGAUCAGAUACCGUCGUAGUCUUAACCAUAAACUAUGCCAACCAGCGAUUAGCCUGAGUUCCUUAAAUGACUCGGCUAGCAGCUUCCG
rnacentral:misc_RNA from 1 species